rnacentral:tRNA from 1 species
GCCUGGCUGGCUCAGUCGGUGGAGUGUGUGACUCUUGAUCUUGGGGUCGUGGGUUCGAGUCCCAUGUUGGGCA